UACAGAGGUGCCGAGCGUUAGGCGGAAUCACUGGGCUUAAAGCGCGUGGAGGCGGGUCGUUAAGUGUCCGCGUGAAAUCCCACGGCUCAACCGUGGAACUGCCGGGCAUACUGGCGACCUUGAGCACUUAGGGGCGAGCGGAACAAAUGGUGGAGCGGUGAAAUGCGUAGAUAGUCAUUUGGAACGCCAAUGGUGAAAACAGCUCGCUGGGAAUGAUCGUGACACUGAGACGCGAAAGCCAGGGGAGCGAACGGG
rnacentral:rRNA from 1 species